rnacentral:lncRNA from 1 species
UUAGAAUUUGGUAGUAUAUCAAUCAAAUCAAAUGGACAAUUGAGUUGAGGGAGUGAUGGGGCCUACUUUAAAAUAGGAAAAAUUCUAGAAUGCAAUGGAUAUAUUAGUGACGUGGCGUAACAAACCAAUCAAGUUAAUCUUUUUAAGAAUAUAUGUCCCAUCAUGAUUGUAAAAAAGUAUUUUUAUUGUACUUUUAUUUGAAAAGAAGGAAUAUGAUUGGCUUGUUAUUGAUGACGUGGUGCAAGUGUGACAGUGUAGAAUUCCUCUUAAAAUAGGGCUGUUAACGAACACAAGCAGACUGAGCCGAAAAAGAACUGGCUCAUAGACAACAAGUUAAAUUAUUAGGUUUAUCGUUACACAAAAUUUAAAAAAAAAUUAAAAAUAUAAUAUUUUGCCUUAAUAACUAAAAUUUAUAAAAUAUAAUUUUUUAAUAUUUAAGUUGACCUAAAAUACAAAUAAUUAAAGUACCAAAUACUUAGUGCUUGUAAGUUUUCAACCGUUAGAUUUAUUUUGUUAAGUAAUUUUAUUCUUUAUAUUAUGCUAUUCCACCAACUACCCAGCUCAAUUCUAAUGGAUCAUUAUUAAUUCUAACCCUACAAAUCUUUAUGUAAAGGUCAAAAAUUUAUAAGCACCAAUAAAUUUGUGCUUUUAAAAGCAUAGGAGUCGUUAAACAUGAUUUAUAUCAUUUGAAGUGUUUAAAAACUACGUUUCAAAUCUUUACAAUAUUAUUGACCUAAUAAUCAAAAGAUUUCAAAAUUUAUAAUUUUAAUGGUCAAUACGAAGCAUUUUUUUAUUUAAUGACGUAAAGAUAUUCAAAUUAAUUAAAUUUUGGUUAGUAAAUUUUUUAAAUUAUUUAAAGCAAGAUCUAUACUCUUGACCUUAAUUACAAGAUUUCUAUCAUCACUUUUUAAAAAAUAUUUAUUUUCAGUCGUUAAGUUUUGUAUCUACUCGAUGGAUAAGAGAACAAUACAAAAAAAAUUAUGAAAUUUGGCUUCUAAAUACGUCAAACGUAUCGAUCACGUUCAACGAUGCGAUUCCAUCAUUGAAAAUAAGUGGGUGGUAGUAGAGCCUAUUUACUACUAAUAGUAUUCCAGCUCAUCUCUUUCUCACCCCCCUCUCUCUCUCUCUCUCUCUCUCUCUAUAUAUAUAUAUAUAUAUGAGCUAGGCUGGUAUACUAUCGGUAGCACCAAGUUGUUUUCAAUAGUGCGGCUUUCAAAUCGACGAUCGGCUCCGUUAGACUUGAUCUACACUAUAAAAAAUAUUUGGAAACUAAAUUUUAUAAUUUUUCGGUGUCAUUUACCUAUCAAACGAGUAGUUUAAAAAUGAAUGGCUGAAAAUAAAAAUCUCAUAAAAAAUGAUGAUAAAAGACUUAAACUUAAGAUCAGAGGUACUGAUCUUAUUCUAAAUAGUGAAAGGAAUUUUCUAUAAAAAUUUCAUCAGAUUUGAAUUGUUUUACACCGUUAAAUUCACAAACGCAUCACAUCUACCAUUAAAAUUGUCAAUUUUGAAAUCUUUUGAUCACUAGCCAAAUGAUGUCGAAAAAUUAUGAAAUUUAGUUUCCAAAUACUUUUAAUAGUGUAGAUCAAGUCUAAUGGAGCCGAUCGUCGAUUUAGACACCACAUCAUUGAAAACAACUUGGUAGCACGGAGGCCUCCGUGCUACCGAUAUAUAUAUAUAUAUAUAUAUAUAGGAUAGGGCUACUACGCUACUAUACUCUUAUGAGUAUAGAGCCUUUUGUAUUCAUAAGUUUUCGAUCGUUUGAUGAAGAGAUGUGCGCGGUUAGGAUGAUAGUGGUCUCCGGUUAGAAUGGUAUUAGUCCCUUAGGGUUGAGUGGGUGAUUGGUUGAAUAGUAUGAUCAACAGAUAAAAAUGGUCAAAGGGGUAGAUCUAACGGUCGAAAACUUAUGACUACAAAGAGCUCUAUACUCAUAAGAGUGUAGUAGCCGGACAAGUCGAAUAUAAGCGAGUUGACCGCAGCUCGUAUUAGGCUCGCUAAGAUUUCGAGUUGAAAAAUUCAGCUCGUGUUCGGCUCAUUUAUUUAAACGCGCAAUUGAUUAUGGGUGCAUUUCGAGCAAAACACGAGCUGAACAGUGAGUAGGAUUGCCAGCCCUCAAGCUACAUCAAGCCAAACACGAGCGAGCUGAUCACAGCUCAUAUUCGGCUCGUUAAGAUUUCAAACUAAAAAAUUCAAUUCGUGUUCAGCUUGUUUUUUUAAACAAGCAAUCGAUCGCGAGCGCAUUUCAAGCCAAAUACGAGCUGAACAGUGAGUUGGAUUGCCGGCCCUACUUUAAAUUAGGUAAAAAUUACUUCCAGAACCCCAGCAUUGGCCCUUCUAAUAUAACCUCCGCUGAUUAUUGUUUUUCGAUUGAGGCUCCCUUAAUUUUUAAUUAAUAAAAAUUAAAUAUUUUUUAUUCAAUAAAUUAAAAAUUUUAUUAAAAUAAAUAGUUAAAGUAUUUAAUAGAAAUUUAACUGCUAGUAGAUAAUUG